CAGCCUCCCUUGCAGAUGCUGUGGCCUUGAGACCAAGUGAUGCCCAAAGGGAUGGAUACGGCAAUGCUGUCUGGGGCUCCCAGAAAACUCUUCGAGGAAGCGGACUCCCCUGGAAGUUCUGCUCAGCAUCUGUCCUUCCUGCCCUCCUCCUACUUGCUGCCACGGGGGUUGAAGUUCUAACAAGCUUUUCUAAAUCCAUUUUUGUAUGAAAAAAAAAUGACAUUCUUGUUUAAGCCCCAUAUUUUGGAUUCUCUGCACAGGCAUCCUUACCACUCGCUGCCACUGUGGGACAACAGUUAGUCGGGGGAAAAAAUAAAGGAGGAAAAGAACUUGAAAUUCUAAAUUGGGGUGGCAAAGAAAGCCGGCAAAUACAUCAGGGCCGGGGUCUCAUGUGCUAUUAUUUAAAAUCAUAAAUGCUGACAUUUACGCAACCGAGGGAGGAAAUGCCAUUAUUGCCGGCAUUAGCCGCACGGAGCUAUGGCAAGUUGUUUCACUUAGAAGAUGUUUAACACGGGUACCGUGAUUGUCACUUAAUGGGUCAGGGAACCCAGAGAGACCUGCCUUUGUCUGUUAGAGCUUCCUCUCUGCAGAUCACAAAUAUUUCCUUUUAUGUUUAGGAAAUGUAAUUACGUCUAAUGCAAAUUACAAACCAGAAUACCAUCACCACGCUUCUUGCUUUUGUGGGGCUUUAGUCUUUUCAUUAUUUCCAAGCUCUGUAGCCCCCAGAAGGCAAAGCGUAACUCCCGAGACCCUUGGGGGAACAUUUAAUCAUGCCCUUCGAGGAACCGGUCACUGAGCCUAACACUGAUGCUGGACAAGGCUCCCAAGGUGACCUUUUAACCACAUGCUUCCCCGAACUGAAGAUUUCAGGCUCCUCCCUGUUGUUGCCUGACUUAUCUGGGUCCAGUGUCCCUUCCUCCCGGUAAAGCUCGGUUAGGGCCUGGUCGCUGGCAUUCCCCUAAUACGUGCAGGUAGCCUCUCAUCAUAAUAGCUGCCACCUGUCGAGUCCUUACUACGUCGGGACGCUGUGCUAAUCGGUGCCUCAUAUGAGCCAUCACACGGGACCCCACAGCAGUCCUAGGAGGUGGGUACAAGUAUAUUUUAUAAAUGAAGAUACGAGGCUUAGAGAAGCUAAUAACCUACCGUUGGCCUUGUAGGAUGAUUCAAAGAUUAUGAAGUAAUGAUCCAACCAAAAUUCACCUGGUCCUGGGCACAAAGUCGUACUGUCUUGUAAACCAGCGGCAGCCUCUCAUGAUGCCAUGUGCUUCCCAUGGCCUGCGGGGCUCAGCAGCCAGUAGGUACUCAGUAAAUGUCAGCUGAAUGACUGGGUCCACCGUCAGUUCAUUCCUAUCCAACUCUACAGACGUAGGUUAAAAAUCACCAGAUGGAAAUGACAAUUAGUCCCCACGGCUGGAAGAAAUAACCGCAGAGAAACGUGGCUAAACAGAAGUCUAUUGACAGGGAAUGGUGGCCCAUAGUUGAGGACAGGAAGCUCCUUUCAAGAGGCACCUUUGUGUUGUUGAGGGAUGAGUGGUUGGGAAGAGAUCCACAUUUCUCCCUCACGGCUCCUCACAGACACAAAACAGAACCCACGGCAGCUUCAAGAACCCGUGAGAAACGGCAACCUGGAAGCAGACCCAGCCCUGUGCUCUGAUUCCAGAAGACAAUGGCUCCGAACUCACAACAGGACAUAGAGGGUGUCCGUGAAGAGGCUCCAGAGACUCGCAGUGGAGAGUCAGCUGGGGCUCGGCCAGAAAGGCCCAACCAACAAGGCUUUUCCUCAGCCUCACCACGAGGCUUGUCCCCGACGUUCUUACAAAGCCUGGUGCUAAAUUCUGGUUUAGCGUUGAAGCUGCCCCUACUGAGUCAUUAUGGACCCGGCACAUGAUCCUGCCCCGGGAAGGAUGUGCGGAUUCGGGCAGGAGCAGGCCUCUGCCUCUCCCCGGACACUCUUGGAAACCAGGAAGGGACACAUCGCGCAAACUACAGAGACCAGGAUCCUCUUGUCAAACCCCUCUUGUGGCUUUGUGAGGGGCCAGAUAGCACCAGUCCUGAACGGCUGCCCUCAUUUUGCUACGGAAGCUAUCUCUGACUCCUUAAUCAACCACAGGCUAUAAGCUAGCCUCCCUGAAACUGCAAUUUUGAUUCGUGAAAUGACAAUGAAACCCCUUGUCCCCUGGCAGUCCACCAAGGCUGCUUUUGCUAAGGUAGCACAUUUGGGGGGCAGUACCCUGUUCUGCAACGGACGCUGGGCAGGAUCAUCACUGGUCUUAUCGGUGAGCUCUGUGAGACGUUCCCCCUCCUGAAGGGGAACAUGGCAGACUGGCGACGUGGAGGCAGACCCUACAACCAGUUCACCACCACCCUCUCUGGGAUGAAGACUGUUGAACUACACGCUGCCCACUCCAGGCUGAGUAAGUCACUCAUUUUUGCCUCCCCCCGGGAGACUGUUGAGUCUAGAGCAUGGUGUGAAUUCAUCUUUGGGUCUCCAGCACCAAUAUGGCUUCUGUCUUAGGUAGGGACACUCCAUUGUUCCUCUGUCACCACAAGCUCAUCUGGAUGGAAACCAAGCUCCGCAUCUUCACCUCCUCUGUCCUCACCUCUGACAGCUGAUCAUAACUGGCUUAUGUCAUUCUCACCAGCACAGUCACGUAUUCCUUGCCAUCUCUCCUUUGCAUGUCCACUUCCACUGCCCUCAGGAGGACUGCAUCAUCCCACACCUGACCUAUGGAAGUGACCUCCUUGGAGCUGACAAGGUGAUUAUGUCACUCUCCUGCUCAAGAUCCUUCAGCGGCUCCCCACUGCCUACAGAAUAAGGCCCAAACUCCUUCACUUGCCAUUUAAGAUCCUCUAAUGAUUUAGUCCCACCUUAGUUUUGUCAUCUCAUUUCUGAGCACCUGUAUUAUGAGGACGUCGCCCUCCUUCCCAACAGAAUGAUCACUGUUCCUUUCAAUCCAGAUAAAAUAUCCCCUUCUUUCCGGGUAAAAUCAAUCCCUCCAUUCAAAGCAUUUCUGCAACACACAGUUUAUAUGUUAACAGAGCACUCCUUUCAUUCUGCCUAUUAUUACAUUUGAUUGCUUUCAUGGCAGACUGGCCUGCUAGCCUGCAAGCUCUCAGGGGCAAGAAUCCUGCCUCAUCCACCUCUAAUCCUCCAUGUCGCCUUGAGCACAACAGAUGCUCAGUGUAUUUCCAUUAACCGCAAAUGAAGCAAAUGAAUCGAAGUUAUGAGUUGGGUUUAAAUAGGUUCACGUGGGUUUGAAAAGCACCACAGUCAAGAUCAUGUUAAGCAGCAGCUCAGGAUGAGAAAAUGGCUCUUAAAGAGCUCACAGUAUAUUUGAGACAACACAGGUGACCAUCCAGACAUGAAAAGCCACAGAGUAAUGUAAGGAAAAACAAUGUUCUUCAAACAUGCGUGCAGAAUGAAGCAGAGGUUGCAUACAAUUUCUGAAGCCCACAGAGAUGUUCUCAUGCCACGGCUCUGAAUCACACCUCUAGGCUGUAAAAUUCUAUCAGCUUGUUUGGAGAAACAAAGAUUCUCUGAAAACUCUUAAUAUUGUUGCACAUGACUGUUAGAUGUGUAAU